CUUAUUUUUUCUUCUUUAUCUUCUUCAUUCUUCUUUCUCUCAUGUUCUUCUUCUUCUGCGAGUGUUGAGAAAAUCAAAUGGAAAUCUGCGAUCAGUAGAUGUUGUUGAGGAUCAUACAAUAGUUUAGGGUGAUGGUGAUGAUGUUCGUAUUCGAUUACGAGUAUAAGAAGGAAGUAAAUCAGCAAGAAUAUAAAUUAGGGUUUGUUUGAGAAGAUUUAGAAAGAGAAGCAGAUGUUAUUGAUAAAUGAUUAGGAGUGGGUUUAGUCGAGUUAGGAAUGGGGUGGAGUUAAUUAGAUAUUGGAUUUAUUCUGAAGUUGAAUCGAGGAUGAAUCAGAAGUUAGGGUUCCUGAGAGAUGGAAUCGAUUGAAGGAUUAUGAGAUAUAGAGGAUGAAAUUGAGUUCUUAAUAGUGAAAGAAUGAAGGGGUUGUUGUGUAAUUGAAGUUCUGAAGGUGUGUUGACGAAGAAUCAUCGAGUUAGGGUUUGUAAUAAAUCCAGAGAUGCAGUAGAAGAUGAAUUUGAAGCUUUGGAAGAUUAAUUGGAGAUGGGUUUGACGUGAAUUAGAGUAUUUAGUGAAGCAGGGUUGUGCUAGCAGUGAAGAUUGAUUCAAUUUAAGAAUUAGGGUUUGUCCUGUUCUUCCCCAAUUUAUGAAUUAAGGUUGUUGUGAUGAACAUUAUUUGUGUGCUGAUUUGAGUAGUUCAAAUUCAAGGAACCGGUGAUAGUGCUUAGAUGGUUAAGAUGGUCAUGGUGGUGUUGUCUAUGAAGAUGAGUAUUGUGUUAAUUGAACCAGUUGGGGUAGAAAUUUCAGAUGGAGGUGUUGAGCAGCUGUAAAGGAUUAUGGUGUGUAUCUAAGGUAAUCCUUCUUCGUUAAAUUGAAUUGUGUUAAGAUGUGAUGUCAAAUUGAAGUAAUUAUUGUUUGUGUUAUGUAUAGAAGAAUGGAACUCUGGAUGUUGAUAAUUUAAGAUGUUGGAGGAGAUAGAAAAUUAUGAAUGGUUUAUGAAUUAAAGAUAGGAAUGUGAAGUUGGUUGUAGUGGUUCUGUCUGGUGGAUGUGAAAUGGUGAAAUGUAGAAGAUGUUGGUGGAGCUGUAAUUGUAAUUGAGCCUUGCUCAGCUGGUAAUGGUGGUAAGCCUUAGGUGUGCUGCUGGGUAUGUGAUGAGAUAUAGUUCUGGCUUAGGGUUGUGUUUGAUUGGUGUUACAGAUAUGAAUGGUAGAAGAGUUACAGUCAUAGUGAAGUGGUGUUGAUGGUGCAGUGUAUCGUGGUUUGGAUUAAUAAUGGAACAAAUUUUGAGUUAGGCCGGCUGGAUGUGCAGUUGAGUUGUGCUCAACUGACAUUAGUGGAACUGAUGCAGUUUGUGAUUAUGAAUGAAAGUUUAAGGACUGUAGUUGGGUGUUUGGGAUUCUAGUAGUUGUGAUGAACUGAACUUGAGUGUACUUGUGAGAUGUUUGAGCUGAAGUUGGUUAUAACGUUGUUAUAGCAGUGGCCUUAGUGAAAGCCUGCAACUGCAUAUUAAGUUAGUCUAUAUUAACAACGAUCGAUUCAAAGGAUGAACCAGAGGAUCGUGGAUCUCGAGGUAGGCGUGGCUUGUCAGCAAAAGAGUUUCAGGGACAGAUCAGAGUUGCGCAGCGAAAGCUCCGAGAAGUUGACUUUUAUAGUUGGUUAUUUUAUGAUAUGUUAUUAUGUUGUAUAUUCUAGUUGCAAACAAAAUUAUUAUUGUAUAUGUAUCAUUUGAGAGAAGUUCUUGUAUAUGUAUUUCUGAGCGGGGUUAGUUAUUGGGUUAAGUUUUGUAGCAGAUUUCUUAAUUGAAUGUUUAAGUAAAUGAUUUAGAUUCUUAGUGCCUCUUUAUUUUAGUUAAUCCCUUGGAUUAGUCAGCUGCUAGCUUAGGGGGCGCUACAAUUGGUAUUGCAGGGAAGAACUCGAGCAGCUGAAUGAUGUAUGGGUAUGAGUAGUAGAAUGCUUGAAACAGGUGAAGCUGCAGUUGAUUGCAUCAUUUGUGCUGCACAUUGUCAUGGGUUUGUGGGUUAUGUUUGCCAAAGAUGGAGGCCAAGAAAGUGAACAAGGAACAACAUAAAGCUUGGUGCCAGGAUGGUUAAGUGAAUUGCGAUGCAGUGCAGUUAUGUGCUGAACUUUUCCCCUGGCCUGAGCUUUGCUCUUGGUCUGAACAAGACCAAGACCUGACUGAAUUGAUGGCGAAGAAGCCGCAGAAUUGAAAUGAAGUAGAUAAUAUGACUUGGAAGAUGUGAUGCUGCCAACGGUUGUUGCUGGUGGAGGAUUUUUAAUGCAAGAUGAAGUUUUGUGCAUGAAUGAUAUUGUUACAGAGAUUGAGCUGAUUAUUGGUGGAAGCAUGGAGUGAUAGCUCAGAUUAUAUUGCCUUGUCAGUUUCACAAAACUGACAGGCACAUUAAGUGAUGGACCUGGUGGGUUAAGAGUUAUGGGAUUAACUGUCUGGGCUCUUUCUAAGCAGAAGCAACAGUGAGCCUACGUUUGGAUUUGGCUUGGGUUUGGAAAUCGGAAAGGCAGAGAAGGGAUAUAAAACAAGUUUGAUCUCUUUUAUCAGGGGAUAUCUCCAUUGGGGAGAAAGAUUUUAUCUCAUCUUCUACUUUUGUUCUAGGGUUUACAACAUGAUAGAUUUAUUUCUUCUUUGGAUGAACUCCAUGAACAUGAGCUAGUUUUCUUUUGGUUAAGGAAUAAGUUUGAAUUCCAAAAAUGGUUUUUAUGCAAUGAAUUAGUUUUGUCUCCA